rnacentral:rRNA from 1 species
CCUACGGGAGGCAGCAGUGGGGAAUAUUGGGCAAUGGAGGCAACUCUGACCCAGCAACGCCGCGUGAAGGAAGAAGGUCUUCGGAUUGGAAAGUUCUUUUAUAAGGGAAGAAGAAAGGGACGGUACCGUAGGAAUAAGCCUCGGCCAACUACGGGCCAGCAGCCGCGGUAAUACGUAGGAGGCAAGCGUUAUCCGGAAUGACGGGGCGUAAAGGGUGCGUAGGUGGUUUGACAAGUUCGUAGCUCAACUCCGGUGCUCAAAGUCGGAACUACUACUGAGACUGUGGGUCUUGAGUGCAGGAGAGGCAAUCGGAAUUCCUGGUGGAGCGGUGCAAUGCGUAGAUAUUAGGCGGAACACCAGUGGCGAAGGCGGAUUGCUAGACUGUAACUGACGCUGAGGCACGAAAGCGUGGGGAGCAAACAGGAUUAGAUACCCUGGUAGUC